UAACACUAAGAAUUCAUGACAUGAUAUAGGGGAUUUAAAAAAAAAAAUACAAAACUCAUGUAUGUUUUAAAAAAAAGUUUUUACCUUUUGCCAACUGAUGGGGGUUAAACAAUCAUUUUCUAGCAGGUUCUCCACGUUUGGCUCUGGUCUCCUCCUCCGGUUAGUGCGCGAGCGCAGUCUGGAAAUGGACUUCCGGUCGUGAGACGUGGCUGACACUGGAAAAUCUUUCAGCAGAGAAUUCGGGAGUCUGAGGGAGUGCUCCGUUUCUUCUACAGCAGUGCCUGGAUGGCAGGGUCAACCCGGAGUCAAAACUGUAGGAAUUUCAGCAAGCACCCUACAUGUUUCUUCCACAUGCAUUGCGGAGGUCUGGGCUGAUGAGCGCAGGACCCCAGAGCCCCGUCUUGGCAUUUGCUCUGCUGCUCCUUGGCGCCGCCCUCCUGGCGUCAUCCUUAGGCGGUAAGAUGAUGGCUCAGACCGCUGUGGCCCAGGCAAAGACUGCAGCUGCAGGACCAGGACCAUUACCUUGGAGCAUUAAGGACCUUCUAGACCUCCAGUACCUGGAUGAGCUGUUCUCCGUCGACAACCUAGAUGUUUGGUUCUGCUCCAUCUUGGGAUCGAUUGCCAUUGGACUCAGUGGUAUCUUUCCACUUUUAGUGAUACCCAUUGAAGCUGGAACAACUUUAAAAACUGAGGGUAAGUCACAUAUGCGUGGAUUUUAUUUGUGAUCUAGGCCUGUGAAUGUAUUGUAACCAGCUCAUUGUAGCAACUAAUCUAGAAUCAGGUUGCAUACUAACCAGGUCAGGUUGAUUGUGUUACAGUCAGGGCUGAUCCAGAUAUUCGCAGCUGUGUCCCGGUGCUGACUAAUGAACAGGGAUCUGUAUUUUUUGUGGCUUUUCUUUGUUUCUUCCUUUAGGUUGAAAUGGUUUUCUUUUCUUGCCCUGGGCAGGUCAUUUAUAAUUUGUGAGCAGAAUGGAAAAAAUGAAAUGAUUCUGGUCACACAUCAGGGCUAGUGUGACAAACGGGCAUGUGUUUGUUAUUAAUACAAGCAAGAGAGAAUCGGUGUGUGGAUUGAUGCAGGUCUCACACAGUUGUCUGGUUAAUAUAAGGCAAACUUUUGAGGCACUUCCUCCUUUUAAUUCAAGAUCAUGUUCUCUGUGGGAUUUUUUCCCUUUGCUGCUUUUGACCGGUUCCACAGUCUUUUGCUUUUCGUACCAUGUUAAAGUAAUUUCCCAGCCACUAAAUGAGCCCCAUUUAUGAUAUAAAAAAAUGUUUUAAAGGAAACUAAUAUGGUAUCAAGUCCAAUCCUGAAGUUAAUCUGUAAAAAUAAGUGUUUAUUUAAAUUUUGUUUUUG